GUAAAAUGCUGUGGUGAAAAAGCAGUCUUGAAAGUGUGGCAAUAUGUGAAUUGGCCAAGCAAGUUAAAGAGCUCUGAAAUCAGGCUGUUGUUUCCUGCAGUGUUCCUGAGAGGAGGUUAUUGCAAGGUGGGGGUUGGUCUCUUCUCCCAGAUAUCAACAAUAGGUUGAGAGAUAACAGCCUUAUGCUGCAGUAUGCCAUGAAGUGCAGCUGCCACAGCAAUGUGUGGGAGAGCUGGGCCCAAAUUCCUCCAGAUGCCUGGCAAUCAGGCUAAAUUGCUGCUGGUUUGAUCAAAAGGACAAACAAGUUGGCGAUAACACAUGACUGUAUUGACAGGCAGCCCUCACAACACCCAUAGAAGCUGAAUAGAGGAAAGGUAGGACAGGACUUCAGUGCAUAGCCUAACAAUUAGAUUGCCUGUUUCUGUUUUACUUUUCCACUAAAUGCUAUUCUACUUGACAUUUGUCUGUUUACCACUAUAAUUUUAAAUUGUAUUAUUGAAAUAAAGGGUCAUAUGUGAAAGCCACAAAUGAUAGCUCCUUCAGUGCAUUCCUUGUGGUUUUCACUCAUAGUGUUUUUGACUUGCAAAGGAUUUGGCAAUUGUAUAUACAGUGUGUCUACUAGGAAAGAAAAGAAACUUGUUUUGGACCAGUUUAUUAAAUCAUGAAUCUUCUUUGCCAUGUAUGUGUGUAAUCUGGUGGGGCAGGUUCACGGAAGGUAUUUCUGUGGUUACAGGUCUAUGUGCACCCAGCAAACUGCUAGCAACGUGUGGGGUAAAUCAUGCAAAAUGAUGGUUUUCUGAUUUUUUUUUAGUUUUUUUUUUUAGUGUGGGGAACAAGUUAUGUAAGGCUUAUCUCUCAGAAGUUGGGCUGUUUAGGAAGCAGUUUAGGAAGACAUGAAGGAAUCGCAUGAGCAUUUGGAGGGAGAGGAAACUGAGUUGAGGCACAGAAUAACUUGCAGUAGAUAAGUGCUCUAAAAGUUCUUAAGAAAAGGUACUAUAGGAACUAGGUACUAUUAGGAACAUGUGAAAGAUGAAAAAGUUCAAAAUAAUUACAUUAAUUAACAUCCCCCAUGAAUGCUUGGGGAGUGGGUCACAAGGAGGAAGAAGUUUGAGACAGUAGUAGACCAGUCAACCUCAUACUGACAGCCCAAAGGAAAAAGGACCUGUCUGUUAAUAACCUCAUAGAGGAUAAUAAGGUGAUUAAAAAUAGACCAUGUGGAUUUAUAGUGUAUGAAUUGUGACAUUCCUGUAGCAGGAUAGAAACUGCCAAGCGGAUAAAAAGUGGCAGAUGUGAUAUAUUGUGAACUAUUGUGAAAUGGUGAUAUUCCUCAAUAGCACUUGGAUAAACUUAGCAGUUGUUUCCACUAUCCACCACUCAGGAAUUCUUAGAAUCAUCAGGGAUGUGGUAUAAGAGCAAGUCAUUGAGCAAGGCAGCUUCCACUUAUGACUCACUCUUUGCUGGUCUAGGGCAGCUUGCAAUUAUUCAGACAUGUUCUGGCAAGGAAGUCUGGCUCUUCCUCACUUACUCUUUGCUGCUUACUCUCAGACAGCAUCUCAGACUCAAUAUACAGCAAACCUACAGUUCUUGAUUCCUGGUGACCACAAUGCAACCCCUAUGUAUUACAACGCACGUAGUAUUUAGAUAUUCUGCUAUAGCUUAGUAUGAAGUAUUACACCCAACACUAAAAUUGACUGAAAUUAUUUAAUGAUGGUGGUUUACACUGAGGUUUUGAGAUGAUAUUUUGCUGCUAUUUUGCCAUGUGGUACCAAGAGGUGCUGGGUGAAAAUGUGAUCCUAGUAAUAUCAGUAAUAACAAUUCUGGUGACCUUAAUAAAGCAAGAAUUGUGCUGAAGAGAACAGAAAAAAGAAAUGCAGCCAGCUUGAAACUUGGAAAUAACAGUACAUAACAAAAGUUAUAUUUGAAGACCAGCAAAAUAGAUGCUCGGACAUGAGCACUCAUGUUUGCUAAGCCUGGAUGCAGGGAAGUAUUGUGCUGAGGCAAUAGAGGUUUGCUGCUUUUUUUCCCCAGUCUUUGGCUGGAUAAGUUAACUGUGCUUUGUAGUAGGACAUGUGAAGAGUGUUGGAGAAUGAUCAGCACUCUCAGUUUGUGGAUGAUGAAAUGUGUGUAGGCCACAGGCAGUAUUUAAUCCAACAUCAUACAGCAGGGGCAGACGUCAUUUUGUAUUUCUCUGUAUGUAUAUAAGGAGGGUACAAGGAUAAAGCUGAAGAACGUUAUAGCAUAUUUAUGUGCUUAGUUUAUUAUAUGCUAUUAAUAAUUGUCAGGGACAAAUACAAACCGCAAAAUAUUGAUAAGAUUUAAGAUAUUUUUUGGGAGAUUUUUCUGGAAGAGGUGUAUCAUUGUUACCUGGUACAUUCAGCAUGCUGUUAAACAGCUAAAUUGUUGGUAAUGAAAGUUGUUUCAGAUCAGAAAUGUUUUACUGUAUCUGUAAAUUAAAGAAAAAAUCAGCUCUGACUUUCUGUUCUUUCAAGCUGCAGGCUACAAUAUUGACUAACCUUGGAGAAAGUGAGGGUUUUUUUUUUAGGACAUUUUAAAGAAAUAAAAAUAAUUCCAUUUGUGGAAUGCCCCCUUUUAACAGUUAUGUUUAUAAGAAAAAAAUGCAUAACACAACACACAUCUUUGUGUGGUGCAAGUUCUGAUUCAAUUGAAAUACAUUCCAUUUCAGAAAUUGUAUUAUGUUCUGAAAAGUUAAAUAUGAGCUUGAAAAUGUGGAAGUAAAUUAGGUCCUUUCAUUCUCUCCCCGGUAAACUUUAACAAAUAAAAUUUAAUAUCUUUGAGGGAUGAAUGAUUGAGAGUAGUGAAAACAGCCUCUAUGGAUUUGGGUCAUGCACUCAAUCAUUUCUUCUGAACUUAAGCAUAGCUGUGAGAAACAACCUUAGUUCUUUAUACAUUAAAGCCUGGGUCUUAACUCUGUGCUUUUGUCACAAUUUGAUGCCGAGAUAUAAAUCACUAAACAGAAGUGUCCAUAAAGACUCAUUAUAAGAGGGCCUUCUGUGAAUAUCAUUGAUUGAUUUGCUGAUUUACUGCAUGCUCACCAUUGAUCAGAUGAAGUUCUCAGUUUGCUGAAAGUAUUCCAUGUUGCUAUUAAUGAAAAUAAGCACACAAACUCUGACACCGUGUCUUUACCAAGCCUAGUUUGAGCUCGGUAUAAC
rnacentral:lncRNA from 1 species